AUUUUGCUUUUUUGAGUCUGUAUUACAUUUUUUCAGUAUGUAAGAGACAAUGCUUAUGAUAAUUAUUUUGUCUUUGUAUUCUUACAUAAUUAAUGUAUUUAUUGUGGUAUUUUU